AGUGAACGCUGGCGGUAGGCCUAACACAUGCAAGUCGAACGGCAGCACAGUAAGAGCUUGCUCUUACGGGUGGCGAGUGGCGGACGGGUGAUGAAUACAUCGGAAUCUACUUGUUCGUGGGGGGUAACGUAGGGAAACUUACGCUAAUACCGCAUACGACCUACGGGUGAAAGCAGGGGAUCUUCGGACCUUGCGCGAUUGAAUGAGCCGAUGUCGGAUUAGCUAGUUGGCGGGGUAAAGGCCCACCAAGGCGACGAUCCGUAGCUGGUCUGAGAGGAUGAUCAGCCACACUGGAACUGAGACACGGUCCAGACUCCUACGGGAGGCAGCAGUGGGGAAUAUUGGACAAUGGGCGCAAGCCUGAUCCAGCCAUACCGCGUGGGUGAAGAAGGCCUUCGGGUUGUAAAGCCCUUUUGUUGGGAAAGAAAAGCAGCAGGUUAAUACCCCGCUGUUCUGACGGUACCCAAAGAAUAAGCACCGGCUAACUUCGUG
rnacentral:rRNA from 1 species